rnacentral:rRNA from 1 species
UUGACUUGGGACUUGGACUUUCGAGCGAAGCUUGAGCUACUAGUCGGUCGCGAGGCCGACGAACGCGAGGCGGGCCUUGGAGGUCGGAAGGGUCUCUCGUCUUCCCUGACGACYUGACCUCAAAUCAGGUAGGACUACCCGCUGAACUUAAGCAUA